rnacentral:rRNA from 1 species
CCGCGUGAGGGAUGAAGGCCUUCGGGUUGGAAACCUCUUUUACCCGGGAAGAAAAUGACUGUACGGGGAGAAAAGGCUCCGGACCACUCCGUUAUAGCACCCCCGGCUAUACGACAGGCCCCGCGCCAAUACAAUAGGCAAUACCCUAGGCCCCGC